GUUACUUGAAGCGAGAUGCUCCUGUCCAGAUGUUGGUGUAAAGACUGGAAGUUGUAAACAUGUCAUUGGCUUACUAUUGAACUACAAAGAUUGUCAAAGGAACAAUGUGAACGAUCUGGUUUGUUUUUUUAUAUUUGUUGUAGUUUGAUGAAGCAGCUACAGCUUUAAUAUAAUUCAUGAUGAGAUAGUCACAGCUGUAGUACAAUUUACAAUAAUAAAAUAAUUGCAGCGAAGUAAAUUUAUAACUUGUCUUUCCCACCAUAAAGAAUUUCGUGCCCUACUCAAUCAACAACACUCAAAAGAAAUUCAAAGGUAGAAAUGCCAACGUAAAGGAGGCUGCCAAGAAACAGCGAUAUCAGACUUUACAUUGUAUGAUUGAAGAAGAAUUUUUAGAACUGCGAAAGAAUAGUUGAAGAAUGCUGAAAUGCGAAAAUCGUCAAACGGCGAAAAAGAUGUGAUGAAGAAUUAUGAGAAGGAAGAACAAAGGCAAUCUUGUGGCUUUGACGAAACGACACAAUGGAUACAAUGGAUACGACACGGCCCCCUAAAAAGAACGCUCAUACAGAAAAAAUUUCGAGUUCUUCAAAUUUGUCAGUUGAUGGAAUUCUGCAUUUGUUUGAACUAUCAGACAACGAUCAUGUCCAUUCGCUGGAGGAAGGCAUUUCUAUGAACCCAAAUCAUUUAGAAAAUUGCGGUAAAGUCA